rnacentral:sRNA from 1 species
CUGGAGGACCUGCGGCGAGAGGCUAGGGAAGCUGGCGGCGCGGCUCCUGGACGACCAGCCGCUGGAGGAGGUGCUGCCCCUCCUCCGCGCGACCGUCAAGGCCCUGCCCGCCUCGCUCCCCGUGGCCCA